AUACUUUUUGAGGCCAGCAAAAUGGCUGAGAGGAAGACUGCUUACUGCCGAACAUGAAGACUUGCAGAAGCCACAUCACAAAAGGAGGGAACUGGGUUCCACAAGUCAUUCUCAGAAGAAAGCAUCGAAUCCCUUGGAGCUGGAAUGAGGAGUACUUGUAAAAUGCUGUUGAGGUCAAAAGAAGACAUGGGAUCCAAUGCAACUGGAGACAGCGAUGGCUGGGAGGUGCCAUAUGGGAAAGGAAUGGGAGUCCUCUGCAAGAGCAGCAAGCAAUCUUAACUGCUGAGUCAUCUCCCCAGCCCUAGGUUAGCUGGUUUUUUACUCAUUCAGGUUAUUCUAUUUAUGCUUUAGACUCCAAUUCCCUUUUUAUUCAAAAAAAAAAGGAAAAAAAAAGAGUUCCAUUUCAGUAGUCAAUGGAAAACAGAGACAUUGCUGCAGAUCAAGUAGUUGGACAUUGUGACUUUGGUCUUAAUAACCUUUGGGAACACAGUCCUCUGCUUUCUGUUUGAGGUCUCAUCUCACCACCUCAUGCUGUCGGGCUGCCAUCUUUACCGAGUGUUAUCCAGGGGAACGUUGAUGGGAGAACCACAAUUUCAUUUCAACAUAGUUAAGAAUUUUAAACACCAGAGAGGCAAGAUAUCUUUAAAACAACUUCCCCUAAAAUAAACUAAUAUGGAUUACUUAGUUACCUUGGUGUUUAUUUGUAGGUUUCUUCACUGUAUGGAUGGGUGUGUUUCUAUUAUAUUAUUACCUAAGAGCUUGAGGACAAGAUCGGGAGGACUUGGCUAGCUGCCGACUAUAACCUAAGUAGAGAUGGCUAAUCAGAGGAAGUAUAUGGCUGGAAAUUCCAUGCCUAUGGAUAACUUUCGGAUUAGAACAGACUCAAAGGCCACCUGAACUUUUUAGGACACCUGGACUUCAUGUUGUCACAAGAGGCAUGUUGUCUUCAUGAGACAAAUACAUUAAAUGUACCCCCAUAUCAGACACCUCCAUUUGUCUCUCUAAAGUUGAUGAU